UCCGUUGCAAACAUAAGACACCUUUUCAGCUGAUCAGCCCGUGGGGAGUGAGUGAGUGAGUGAGUGAGAGAGAGAGAGAGAGAAAGGGAGGAGGAGGGAAGGAAGGGGAAAGCGGAAGCGGAUGAGGAGAUGGCGACGCUGCAGAGUUGGCGAAAGGCGGUGUGCACGCUCAGAGACACCACCACCGUCAGCCUCGCAAACCUCAACAGCAAUUUCAAGAUUUGGAUGUGUCCAUCGUUAAAGCCACCAAUCACGUCGAGUGCCCGCCCAAGGAGCGACAGAUCAGGAAGAUCUUUGUGGCCACUUCGAUCACUCGCCCUCAUGCGGAUGUAGCGUAUUGUAUCCACGCCCUUGUACGUACGGCGCCUCGCCAAGACCCAUAAUUGGGCGGCACUUCGCUCUCCUCUGCUGUUAUUAUUCUAGUAACUUGUUUUUAGAGUCUCAGUACUGUAGUUACUGGUCCAACUGAAGACUGCUGAUCGGAUCAGUUGCAUUGUUGAUAGAUUUUCUGCAGUACCAAUAGUUAGAGAGUAAUUUGUGCUACAGUGAAAAAUGAAACCUUAUUAAUCUGUGCCAGACAUAAUUAAGGACCCCAUCACUUUAUUAA